rnacentral:sRNA from 1 species
AUGUACCAAGCGUCCACGCCGGCUCCGCCGCGCCGCCCGCACCCGCCUGACGACCGCUCGCUAGGUUUUGUUGGCC